rnacentral:rRNA from 1 species
UACGUAGGGGGGCAAGCGUUGUCCGGAAUUAUUGGGCGUAAAGAGCGUGUAGGCGGUCCGGUAAGUCGGCUGUGAAAGUCCAGGGCUCAACCCUGGAAAGCGGGUGGAUACUGCCGGGCUAGAGUCCGGAAGAGGCGAGUGGAAUUCCUGGUGUAGCGGUGGAAUGCGCAGAUAUCAGGAGGAACACCGGUGGCGAAGGCGGGUCUCUGGGCCGAUACUGACGCUGAGGAGCGAAAGCGUGGGGAGCGAACAGG